UCCGGUAUGGUGUAACGGCUAACAUUACCGCCUUUCACGACGAACGCGGUAGCUCGGGGUUCGAUUCCCCGUACCGGAA
rnacentral:tRNA from 1 species